UGAUUGGUCAGGAUUAAAAAAAAAGAAUUUUGGACAAAGCUGUGGUGUCAUCGACGAUGGCUAUUCUUAUGUUGAAGAACUUCUCCAAAUGCUGAAAAUUUAUGCGAAGAAAAAAGAUCUGAAGUAAAUUCACCACUUCCUCAUCCUCUACUACAUUUUAUAAUUGGCUGAUUUCAUAACAUUUUCUAAUAGAGUUCCUUUGAGGUAGUGACUGAAGCAGUAUUUUGGUUGAAGUGUUUGGAGAACAAACUUCACUGUGAUACUUAGCAGCCUUUAUACCAGGACUGAACAGAAACUGAGGAAUCUUUUGCAACAGCAGGGAAGAAUAACUCCCUGCUUGGCAGUGAGUAUGUUCCCAGUGAAGCAAAGUUGAGCUCUGCAGCCACUGGGGGAAAAGGUGAAAGCCAAGCCUGGAUCUCUGCAAUGUCUGACACUCAGACUAACAACAUUACCCUGUGAUUAGACUACUUAAUGUAAAAUAUUGAUGACUGAAGAAAAGAUUUCGAAAGUGAAGAAAGCACUUGAGUCACCACCAAGAAAAGAAAAACAACCCAGGAGGAAAAGACCACCUACAACUGAUGAGGGGCCAGACACCUGCCUUUAAUUGAGUGCCUAAAGAAAACAGUAUAUGGCCACCCUUUAAUUCGUAAUGAGUUCUGACUUGCUUUGACAUAAGCUAUGUGAACUGCCAUGUGUGCUGUUAGUUGAAGCUGAGAAGGAAAUUCUUAGGCAGUGUCUCGGUGCUGGAGCGUGUUAUAUGUGUGGACCUGAAGCAUGGUCCAAAAUUUGAAAAACAGGAUAAACCCCAGCCUGGCUGAAUAUGAAGGGUAAAAAUUAUUUCUUGCGUAGCAGCAUAACAUUAAUGAGAACAGGCAAGAUGGUGGCAGAGAGACCUGUGUGGUAAGGGAUACACUGGACAAGUAUAUUAAAUCUAUAGAUUGAAGUGUAACGGUGUGAGCACCUUUGUCACAACACUGCUCAUUCUAUGUCUUUCUCCUCUUCCCUGAAAUUAAGGUGGGAAAAGAUAGAAAUGUUAUGAUCUAAUAUGGAAAAAGAUA